CUGGAAUUCUCCAGGUGGAGAGUCAGCCCCCCACCCACUUCAAGAGAACCCAACCUGUGGUCCCCAUUUGGGUGUCCUAGAAGGGCUUUAGUCCUGAGGAACACUUUAGAGCAGAGGCCAGCUCUCCACAGACAGCGAUGGCACUUCUGCUGUCUCUGGAAAAGAGGACCCACCUGGCGUUUGCUUUAAGGGUUGACAUUGUCAGUCCCAGACUCCCAAUGGCGCAGACUGAGAACACUCAUCAACUGGACAGGAAGAUGUUACAGUUCAGCAUGAUGGAAGUGGAUGGAAUCCUUAUGCCUCAAGCAUUUGAAGGAGUGUGGGAAAGAAUCUGUAAUUUCCAAGCCAGGCCAGAUGACACCUUUCUGGUAUCUUACCCAAAGUCAGGUAACUGUAUCAAAGCAUACAAAAAAUUCCACAUUUGCACAUGAAACCAUUGCAUAAUAUAUAUUGACCAGUAAAUCAUGGUUGGGGAUUGGGGACUGGAGAGGAAUAGACCCUGACAUGCAGAUCAGUCCUAGCAUUGCUGGACAUGCAGCAUCGGUGGUCCUUGGACACUGACUUCCAACAGCACUCUCUGCUGGUGACCAAACACUGCCAAGGGCCCUGGAAAGGAACACUCAUUCCAGACACAAUAAUUUACAAAAAAUGUUGGGUGGAUAAAUUGCAAAAUAUAUCAUUGGUUUUUUUAACAUAAGGCCUCACUUGAGGAAGCCUUCCAUAAGAGUAAAAAGUGGGUUGUCCAGUUGCCCAAAGCUAUUGAAAGACAACAAGUAAGGCUUUCUGUUUUGUCUCAGUUCAGUUCCCUUCAGAGAAGCCCCAAGGUCAUUACAAAUUCACUAAAUUAACUUCAAACUUCCUAGAAUCAAAUAUCUCCUGGUAGGUACAGCACCUCUAAGGUCCAGAACUCAGUUAUCAAACACAGUUCCUCACAAAGAAAAACCAGGGCAUUGGUGAGUGGGCAUCCAAGUCCUGGGGUGAGGAUGCAGCGGGUGAGCCUAGGCCAUCUUGUUGUCUGGAAAGUAAGUCAAUGCUCAGACCUAGUGGGGACAUGUCAGAGGACACAGGAGCCAGCAUUAAGAAGCAUGUGGUGGCCAAGGUGGAACAGGCUGUGGAUGGGGAAGAGGGCAGUGAGUG
rnacentral:lncRNA from 1 species